rnacentral:rRNA from 1 species
UACGGAGGGAGCUAGCGUUGUUCGGAAUUACUGGGCGUAAAGCGCACGUAGGCGGCUUUGUAAGUUAGAGGUGAAAGCCCGGGGCUCAACCCCGGAAUUGCCUUUAAGACUGCAUCGCUUGAAUCCAGGAGAGGUGAGUGGAAUUCCGAGUGUAGAGGUGAAAUUCGUAGAUAUUCGGAAGAACACCAGUGGCGAAGGCGGCUCACUGGACUGGUAUUGACGCUGAGGUGCGAAAAGCGUGGGGAGCAAACAGG